UGUGUCCAGUUGGCAAAGUACCCCUUCCU
rnacentral:piRNA from 1 species